UAUAUCGGCGGUGUCCACCUCUUCCCAUUCCGAACAGAGAAGUUAAGCCCGCCAGAGCCGAUGGUAUUGCCGUAACAGGUGGGAGAGUAGGUCGGCGCCUAUU
rnacentral:rRNA from 1 species